rnacentral:rRNA from 1 species
CAGAGGUGGCAAGCGUUGUUCGGAAUUACUGGGCGUAAAGGGCGCGUAGGCGGCCAUCUAAGUCAGACGUGAAAUCCCCCGGCUUAACCUGGGAACUGCGUCUGAUACUGGACGGCUUGAGUAUGGGAGAGGGAUGUAGAAUUCCAGGUGUAGCGGUGAAAUGCGUAGAUAUCUGGAGGAAUACCGGUGGCGAAGGCGGCAUCCUGGACCAUUACUGACGCUGAGGCGCGAAAGCUAGGGGAGCAAACGGGAUUAGAUACCCCGGUAGUCCUAGCCCUAAACGAUGAAUGCUUGGUGUGGCGGGUAUCGAUCCCUGCCGUGCCGAAGCUAACGCAUUAAGCAUUCCGCCUGGGGAUACGGUCGCAAGGCUG